AGUGUGUUCAAACAGCAGCGGACAUACGAAUAGUUCCGCUGCUGAAAGAGCACACAAUUUACAGAUACACCAUUUUUAGACACACAACUUGUAUCUCUGAAAGAUUGUCAACACCA